rnacentral:lncRNA from 1 species
GAAGAAUAAGGUAUCUAGAUCGACAGCUAGGAUUAAAUGAGAUAAGGGACUAAAUUGAUAGACUUAAACAUGUUUCAGGGAGAUAUAUAGAAAUAUAGAUGAAAAUGUGAGGGUGGUUAUAACACUGAAUCUCCAUGAUGAUUGUAAAACUGUCCGACUAGUCUUACCCUUUCUUUUCAAAAUCAAACGAUUGGCCUUUUUCCAAAACCCCUAUAAAUACUCAAAAUCCUUCAUUUUUUCCUUUACGCCUUCAAAACUCUCAGAUCAUCUUUCAAAGCUCCCUUUCUAACCAGCAAAACUUUGUUGAAUCCAGAAAUUCC